rnacentral:rRNA from 1 species
UACGGAGGGUGCGAGCGUUGUCCGGAAUCACUGGGCGUAAAGGGCGCGUAGGCGGGUCUUUAAGUCAGGGGUGAAAUCCUGGAGCUCAACUCCAGAACUGCCUUUGAUACUGAAGAUCUUGAGUUCGGGAGAGGUGAGUGGAACUGCGAGUGUAGAGGUGAAAUUCGUAGAUAUUCGCAAGAACACCAGUGGCGAAGGCGGCUCACUGGCCCGAUACUGACGCUGAGGCACGAAAGCGUGGGGAGCAAACAGG